ACUCUCACGGAUCCGGUUCCGCCCUCCCUCUCGCUGUCGACCCUCCGGGGCUAGCGCCCGAGAUCCCUUUCCCAGCGUGCUCUGCGCCGUGAAGAAGCGGCUCCCGGGGACUGGGGGCAUUUUGUGUUGGCUGGAGCCGGAGUAACAAGAUGGCGGCGUCGGCGGAGUGACAGGGGUCCCUCCGGGCGGGAGCCGGCGGCGCUGGUGGCAGCGGUAUCGCCGCCCUACACCACCGCGCCCCUUUUCCAGCCCGCGACGUCGCCGUGAAAGCGAGCCAGCGGCGGCCGCCCAGAAGCCAGUGGCCCAGUCUGGUAACCGCGAGGACCCCCUUAACAAGCCGCGGCCCCUGACUGAGCGGCGGCGAUCAGGUUCCCCUCGGCCGGUUCCGGGCCCCGUAACGCCUUGAAAGAGCCCACGUUGUCCGUUUCCUGCCGCCCUCCGCCGCAGCCUCGUUCCGCGGACGAGCCCCAGAGGCCUCCGUGCUCCCCUCAGAGGUGUCGGGGCUCGGCCCCAGGCUCCAUCUUCGUCUCUCAGGAUGGCGAGCAGCAGCGGCUCCAAGGCCGAAUUCAUUGUCGGAGGGAAAUACAAACUGGUACGGAAGAUCGGGUCUGGCUCCUUCGGGGACAUUUACCUGGCGAUCAACAUUACCAACGGCGAGGAAGUGGCAGUGAAGCUAGAAUCUCAGAAGGCCAGGCAUCCCCAGUUGCUGUACGAGAGCAAACUCUAUAAGAUUCUUCAAGGUGGGGUGGGCAUCCCCCACAUACGGUGGUAUGGUCAGGAAAAAGACUACAAUGUACUAGUCAUGGAUCUUCUUGGACCCAGUCUCGAAGACCUCUUCAAUUUCUGUUCAAGAAGGUUCACAAUGAAAACUGUACUUAUGUUAGCUGACCAGAUGAUCAGUAGAAUUGAAUAUGUGCAUACAAAGAAUUUUAUACACAGAGACAUUAAACCAGAUAACUUCCUAAUGGGUAUUGGGCGUCACUGUAAUAAGUGUUUAGAAUCUCCAGUGGGGAAGAGGAAAAGAAGCAUGACUGUUAGUACUUCUCAGGACCCAUCUUUCUCAGGAUUAAACCAGUUAUUCCUUAUUGAUUUUGGUUUGGCCAAAAAGUACAGAGACAACAGGACAAGGCAACACAUACCAUACAGAGAAGAUAAAAAUCUCACUGGCACUGCCCGAUAUGCUAGCAUCAAUGCACAUCUUGGUAUUGAACAGAGUCGCCGAGAUGACAUGGAAUCAUUAGGAUAUGUUUUGAUGUAUUUUAAUAGAACCAGCCUGCCAUGGCAAGGACUAAAGGCUGCAACAAAAAAACAAAAAUAUGAAAAGAUUAGUGAAAAGAAGAUGUCCACUCCUGUUGAAGUUUUAUGUAAGGGGUUUCCUGCAGAAUUUGCCAUGUACUUAAACUAUUGUCGUGGGCUACGCUUUGAGGAAGCCCCGGAUUACAUGUAUCUGAGGCAGCUAUUCCGCAUUCUUUUCAGGACCCUGAACCACCAAUAUGACUACACAUUUGAUUGGACAAUGUUAAAGCAGAAAGCAGCACAGCAGGCAGCCUCUUCAAGUGGGCAGGGUCAGCAGGCCCAAACCCCCACAGGUCUUAAAGAUGAGAAGUUGGAUCCACGGAGUUAGUGUGUUUCCUUGGAAAGAAAUUGUAAAUUAAGUUUAAUCCUUAAUUUUGUAUUGUAACGAUUUUUCAUAAAAGCAACUUUAAAAAUCUUAUAAAAUUUUUACGGUGCUUGGCUGGCUCAAUUAGUAUAGCAUAUGACUCUUGAUCUCAAGGACAUGAGUUGGAGCUCUACAUUGGAGGUAGAAUAUAUUUUAGAACAAGAAAGUCUCAUAGAAUUUUCAUAGCAGUGUUAGACAAGGCUUGUACAAAUUAUCACAUAAACACCAACUUGUAAAAUUUUGAAAAAUUGGACUUUCCAUAAAAUGUUAUCAUUUACCUUUGUGAUAACCUUCAGAGAAACAUUUUAAGGUGGUGUAUUUUGACUCCAAGUGAAAUGUUGCUUGCUACUAAAAUGUUCCAUAUUGUAGAAUACGAACAACAAAAUUGUAUUUGAUCUUUGAUUUCUUGAAAACAUUAAUUUUGGGUAUAGAGCCCCAAACAGAUCUCACAUGAUAUCCCUUAUGUAUAAAGCUAUGGAAGUAUAUCAAGUUUGAGGGUGGCAUGAAAGUAAAUAGUUUGAGCCUAUUUUCCUGACCCAAACCCCCUUAUCCAGACUAUCAAGAAAUCUUGAAGUCUGGAGUUGAAGUCUGGAAUGAAGAUAGUCACUUUAGGUUACUUAUUUCCUGAUUUCAAUCUCUAAGUAUUAAGAGUGUUUUAAAAAGCAUACCAUCUUAGGGUCCAUUACAAUAGUUUUUUAUUCAAGGAAGAGCCCGUGCAACUCAACUAUUUGCUGAUUCCAAGAAAUCCUUUCAGUGAUGAUAACAUCAUAGUAUUAAAAUUUUAGAAGAUGCUUUUUAAAUACAGCAUCUCAGUUUUCAGAGUUACACUCUUCAGAGGUUUUCCACAACAGAGAAUACAGUUUCUUAAAUGAGUCUUCAGCAAGUAAAGCUGUAUAUUGCAGGAAUAUGUUCCUGGAAAAAUCCCUCAAAUGGUGCUCUUGACUAAUAACAUAUUUUGCAUUAUUAUUUUUAUUUUUGAAAAAUCUAUAUCAAAUGUUUCUGUGGAAAAGUAUAAAUUGUUUCAGCAGUUGGUUAAGAAUUUUCGUUAAGAGAUUCUAAAGUCUGCCUUACUCUUAUUUCAAAACAGUAAGCUGACUUACUCAGCUAAGAUGGGCUUCUUCUAUGUAUUAGACUUCUAAUUAAUUUUCUAAAGAAAAGAUCUUUUGAAAUAUUCCAUUCCAAAACCUAUCAAAAGAGUAUGAAACAAGGCAUUUCUCAUAAAGCCCACCACAGUGGCUAAUUUUCAGUGUUCAUGUGCCACAAGAUUAUAAUUACUGUUUUGUACAUGUUAAGGAGAAAAAUAAAAGAUUCAUAUCUGAGGCACCUUCAAAUUCAUUUCACUUCCUUUUCUUCAACUAUAUGUGAUUAUCAUAAAAGUACUCGUCAAGACAUUUAAGAAGUACUAAAGGAAAAGGAAAUAUUUUUAGGACAUUCAGAAUCCAGUUAAGUUCACCAUUUCUUUAGUUGAGGUCAGAGAAGGGGAGAAUUCCGGAAGGUAGUGAAGCCAAAGUUGGAUCCUUACAUAAUUCUUUUCUCAUUAUCUUUAUCCAUCUGUUCACUACUCCUGCCAGUGAUACUAAACAUAGUUUUAUCAUCGUGUAUGUGGAUGUCAAAUUGUUGACAAAAGAUAGAUUUUUCCAUCACAUUCUCCUACAAUGUCCAUGGUCUUCCUUGAGUUACCUUCCAGUAUUUACUGGGAUUCAUCUACCAUUUAUGUUUAGCUUAACUUUUUCUGACUUGACCAACUGCUGCUAGGAAUGUGGCUGGUCACUCAGCAACAUAACCCAAAUCACAGGGGAAGACCUUGAAAUAUCUGGAGACUGAUCUUCUCUGAAUACACUCAAUCUAAAGAAGUGCCAGGGAGCUACAUCUGCUUGCUGAAAUUUUUGUCAGCUUUUUUCACUAUGGACAGUACAGCUGGAGAGAAGAGCUCAGUAACCCAACAAGAAAUGAAGAAGAGUGUGCAAGAGUUGAUUUGUGGUGAUCUGAAGCCUACAUCUCCAAGGCUUGCUGGACCGAUCAAACUUCAACUUGUCAGAUUGGAUGGAUAGGAUACCACAGCAGUUAGAAGACAGAAGAGUUGAGUGUUGCUGUGACUCAGUAUAUGCAGAUCAUCUACCAGUUGGGGAAGGAAUCCAUUUUAACAGGGACAAAGGGUUCCAUUCCUUAUUUUAACUGUUGUUGCAGUGAAGAUGGGUUUUGGGACUUUUAGAAGCCAGAAGCCAGGAGAAGACUACCCAAACUACAAGAUAAAAACCAAGGACUCAUGCAGGCUGGGGAAAAAGAAUGCUUAGCAUUCGAAGAUUGAAUGCUGAAUUACCUGCUAAAUGCUCCCAUUGAGAUUUUUCUUUUAACUUCAAUAACAUCUUAAAACAAUUCACUGGAGAAGCAUUGAUCCCUGGAUGCACACAUACCCUACCACUGGCCAACCUGAAGAGUUAUAUCUGGAUGUGACUGCUCUAUUCUACCAGGAAUAUUUUUAGGCUAGCCUUUGUCUGAUCCCUAAGCAAUUGUAAUCAUUAAUUGACCCAGUAAUUUCUCAAAUACCAGAUUAAAAGAUGAACAGAUAAAUUCUUAUUUAGAUAUAAUUUUUAUCCCUAUUAAAGACCCCAAAUUUUCUAAUAUUUUUGUUGACAUAACUUACCUUUUCUUUUUAGUUAGUGACAGUGGUUUCUAUUUUAAGGCUGUUUUGUAUAUUCAACAUAGUGAUUAAAUUACUCCAUAUAUUGUAACUGCAUAGCAAGCUAUGAUAAACUGUUUUAGUAGUUGUGUAAAUGUUUUUCUUUAUCAUAUUUAAGUAUAAUUGCAGGACUUCAAAUGCUCAUCAGGGUAAGGGUCAUUUCUGUUUAGCUAAUUCAUAGUGUUAAUCUGCUUUUGAUACUCUGUAUUUUAACAUUGGAAUUAGGUUACAGAAUAUGGUCUUAUUUUAAAAUUUAAUUCAUUGCUUUGACAGCCGUUUCUUUUUAUACUUACCUUGGUAUUUCUGUUUAGUAAUACACCAAAUACUCCUGUGGUGAAGUACAUUUUCAGAAAGUUUCA